UACGUAGGGUGCAAGCGUUGUCCGGAAUUAUUGGGCGUAAAGGGCUCGUAGGCGGUUUGUCGCGUCGGGAGUGAAAUCCACUGGCUUAACUGGUGGCUUGCUUUCGAUACGGGCAGACUGGAGGCAUGCAGGGGGAGAACGGAAUUCCUGGUGUAGCGGUGGAAAUGCGCAGAUAUCAGGAGGAACACCGGUGGCGAAGGCGGUUCUCUGGGCAUGUCCUGACGCUGAGGAGCGAAAGUGUGGGGAGCGAACAGG
rnacentral:rRNA from 1 species